GAUGAACGCUGGCGGCGUGCCUAAUACAUGCAAGUCGAGCGAACAGAUAAGGAGCUUGCUCCUUUGACGUUAGCGGCGGACGGGUGAGUAACACGUGGGUAACCUACCUAUAAGACUGGGAUAACUUCGGGAAACCGGAGCUAAUACCGGAUAAUAUUUCGAACCGCAUGGUUCGAUAGUGAAAGAUGGUUUUGCUAUCACUUAUAGAUGGACCCGCGCCGUAUUAGCUAGUUGGUAAGGUAACGGCUUACCAAGGCGACGAUACGUAGCCGACCUGAGAGGGUGAUCGGCCACACUGGAACUGAGGCACGGUCCAGGCUCCUACGGAAGGCAGCAGUAGGGAAUCUUCCGCAAUGGGCGAAAGCCUGACGGAGCAACGCCGCGUGAGUGAUGAAGGUCUUCGGAUCGUAAAACUCUGUUAUUAGGGAAGAACAUACGUGUAAGUAACUGUGCACGUCUUGACGGUACCUAAUCAGAAAGCCACGGCUAACUACGUG
rnacentral:rRNA from 1 species